GGAAGCCGUGGCGAGAAUAUGGAUUUCAUUGCUGUGAUGAGAUCAUGAGAGUUAUGAUUAUGAUCAUAAUCCGUUGUCUAGAUGGGAUUAGAGUUUCCGGCAUCUGAAUCACCACCGUACCGGUGAAGAGACAAAGUAGCAGAAAGCUGAAUGUUUCUUAUCUUCUGACAAUUUUUGUUUUCAAUUUCUGCCACAAGAACUCUUGCUAAGCUUAUUUGACUGAUUUGUGCUGUAGAUCAUGAAGACCUGAAGAACCUACUCAUUUUAUCCAAAUCAAUCAGAGAAGUUUGUAACAGAGUUUGAUAGCUAAAGAGUUACAUUUUCCAUAACUUGAGUUUUUUAAAACCAAGUUGGUCUCGAGCUAUCAAUUGGAAGACGUUGAGUUUCCUAAAGCACCGGUUCAUCAUUGUUGGACCAAGGCUAAGAGGAAAGAGCAACUCUCUCGGUGGAAUUGCUUACUUGGAAAUGAUGAUGAUGAUGAUUUAUGUAGAUGGUUGGGUUCAAGAGGCUAAGUGUUUAGUAUAAUUUGUACAUGAAUAUAUUUUCUAUAAAAACUGAAAUGGUUUUAAUGUAUUUCAGCCAUUCAAAGAAAAUGUUUUAGGUGAAGCUUAAGGAAAUCAAAACUGUUUUACAAACAACGUCACUGGAAAAAAUAAUGUGGUGUGAAACAGCUGGUCAUGUUCUCAUAGAUGCUAAUCUCCGAGAUUUAGGUUGUGCGUGACAUUUGGGAAGUUAUAAAAUGCAUACCCUGAUCUGUGAUAUGUAAGAUUCAGUUUAGAUACAUGUCAUGACAUAUAUGAUUUUCAUAUUAUA